rnacentral:lncRNA from 1 species
GGCGCGGGCAGAGCUUCGGCUCCAAACUCCGCCGCUGCCGCCACGGAUCCGACUCCGGCCGCCGUGGGCGCCAGGAGCAGCCGACCAGCCGAGAGCAGCUGCGCUCCCCAGCCAGGUCCUGUGCAGCCCAGAGCAGCCAGUGUGUCUGGUGCAGCCCGGAGCAUCCUAGUACAGCUCAGAGUAGCCUGGUGGUGUAUCCCGGAGCAUCCCGGUACAGCCCAGAGCAGCCCCGGGUAGCCUGGCGGCCCGACCACGGUAGCAUGAGGACGUCCCCGCGGCGCCCCUCGCUGCCCGUCACCGCCACGGCCGGCGGCCCGGGUCAUAAGCGCUUCUGAGCCCAUGGCGAGGGGACCCACCGUCGCCACCGCGAUCGCCGCCGCCGCCGCCGCCGCCGCCGCCGCCUCGGCCAGCGCCGUCAGCUCCUGGGCACCAUGCGAGCUGCUCCAAGCCUCCGCCGCGCCUCCUGCCUGCUGCUCGCCGCGAUCCUGGACCUGGCGCGCGG